CGGCAAACUUCGCAGUGCUAUAUUAUCCGCAUUUUACAACAUUUCGCAACGAAACUUCGGAAUAUUACUAAUUUUGUGAUGCUCUUUCAAGCUGUAGUGAAAUGUUUGUCUAGACUUGUCUAGCUAGAUCAAUAUUUUGUUCCUUAGGGAAUAGGUCCCAUUAGUUUGCGUUACUGCUCUAGAGCGCUGCGCCGUAUAAUCGCAGAUUGCCGAGAGGGGACUUGAUUAGAAACUGUCUUUCUGUCAGUUUGUGGUAAUCUUCAAUACAUACGACAAAAACAUGAGAUUUUUAAAAUUUUUCAGUUCCUCACAUGUUCGCUAUAUUGCCUAUAAUGCAAAUUGCCUCCGAGAGAACUCGAGUGCAAAAAAUUGAAGCCAAGGCCCAAAAUGACGCAGGUUGAAGAGCUAUUGGACGUCAGUGGUCGAGUGAGUGACGUUCUUGCUCAGCACACUGGCAAAGACUGAAUAUCGUUCUACGUGGAAAAGACUGGUGCCAAGUUAAUUCCAUAUUCAGUUUCGGCAAUAUACGACGUAAUAAAAUAAGCCGUCUGUCUAGUAUAGAGCGACCUUGAGGCGUCUUAAAAAUCGAUUUUAAUUGCUACCUGUAAAAUGCACAACGGCCAAAAAGAUCUAUUUUGCAAAAAAAAAAAUUUUCGAAACGUGACAUACAAAAUUUACACUUUUUAUAAUCUUUUGUUGCCCUCAUUUCGUUCAAAAACCCGUAAUUUUCUACUAUAGUAUUUUUUAACUUUUGAAGUGUCGCUUUGAACAGCUGCUCGCAUAUUAUACAUGUCAUUUUCAGCAGUGUAGAUUAAAACUGAAUAAUUUAUUGUAUUAGCAUUUUCUGAAUUGAUUUUUGAGGUAAAAAUUUCGCAUUUGAGGCAGUGAAAGUUGGUUCGUUUGAUUUCUGAUGGAGUGAUGAACGUUUGUAAGUUUGCCUAUGAGCUACGGGGCUAUAUUAUUGAUUUGAACGUACAUACAUUCGUAUUCAAUGCUUUGUUAAUGUACAUUCAUAUUCAAUGCUUUAUUAAUAUAUGCUGACUGUGAAAUUGAUUCUAUAGCUCAUUUGCAUGCAGAAAUAAGAUUGUUAAAAUAAUAAUUGUUGUAUGUUCGCAUGUUGUCAUGGCAUUUUUGGCAAAGUAAUACAUUUUACUCCAAAGCACUUCGUAUGCUAAUUUCACUUGUGUUUGCUUUUAGUUGAAGUCAAAAUCGACACGUUAAGCUUCGAAGCGAAUAAAAGGAAUCUCUUAAUCUCAAAUAAUUGCCAUUUUAUACCUGCAAACGGUCGUGUACAUUUUCCAGAAAUGUAAUUUCCUGCCUGUGGAAGGGAAGCUUGUUUUACAAUG